rnacentral:rRNA from 1 species
GGCCAAAAAAGGCUCAAAUUUAGAAAUCCCCCCGGGGAGUUGUAAUUUGAAGAUUGCGUCUUGGAGGCGACCGUGUCUAUGUUCCUUGGAACAGGACGUCACAGAGGGUGAGAAUCCCGUGCGGCACGGCCCCCGGCUCCUUAUAAGGCGCUCUCGACGAGUCGAGUUGUUUGGGAAUGCAGCUCAAAGUGGGUGGUAAAUUCCAUCUAAAGCUAAAUACAGGCGAGAGACCGAUAGCGAACAAGUACAGUGAUGGAAAGAUGAAAAGCACUUUGAAAAGAGAGUGAAACAGCACGUGAAAUUGUUGAAAGGGAAGGGCAUGCCGUCAGAUUGUCAGUGUGGGUAAGAAGCGGGGUACAAAGACUGUGGAACGUGGCCCUCGGGUGUUAUAGCCGCAGUUCAUGCCCCGUCUCUUUCCGAGGCCUGCUUUGAGGACACCGACGUAAUGACGGUACGCCGCCCGUCUUGAAACACGGAC